rnacentral:rRNA from 1 species
UGGGGAAUAUUGGACAAUGGGCGCAAGCCUGCUCCAGCCAUGCCGCGUGAGUGAUGAAGGCCCUAGGGUUGUAAAGCUCUUUCACCGGUGAAGAUAUGACGGUAACCGGAGAAGAAGCCCCGGCUAACUUCGUGCCAGCAGCCGCGGUAAUACGAAGGGGGCUAGCGUUGUUCGGAUUUACUGGGCGUAAAGCGCACGUAGGCGGACUAUUAAGUCAGGGGUGAAAUCCCGGGGCUCAACCCCGGAACUGCCUUUGAUACUGGUAGUCUUGAGUUCGAGAGAGGUGAGUGGAAUUCCGAGUGUAGAGGUGAAAUUCGUAGAUAUUCGGAGGAACACCAGUGGCGAAGGCGGCUCACUGGCUCGAUACUGACGCUGAGGUGCGAAAGCGUGGGGAGCAAACAGG